GUGCUCACUUCAGCAUCACAUACACUAAAAUUGGAACGGUACAGAGAAGAUUAGCAUGGCCCCUGCACAAGGAUGAUACACGAAUUCAUGAAGUGUUCUAUAUAUUC
rnacentral:snRNA from 1 species